rnacentral:tRNA from 1 species
AGCCCUGUAGUUCAAUGGAUAGAACAAAAGUUUCCUAAACUUUAGAUACAGGUUCGACUCCUGUCAGGGCUACAA